rnacentral:rRNA from 1 species
UACAGAGGUCUCAAGCGUUGUUCGGAUUCAUUGGGCGUAAAGGGUGUCGUAGGCGGCGCGGUAAGUCGGGUGUGAAAUUCGCGGGCUUAACUCCGAAACUGCAUUCGAUACUGCCGUGCUUGAGGACUGGAGAGGAGACUGGAAUUUACGGUAGUAGCGGUAAAUGCGUAGAUAUCAUGAAGGAAGACCAGUGGCGAAGGCGGGUCUCUGGACAGUUCCUGACGCUGAGGACGAAGGCCAGGGGAGCAAACGGG